AUUGAACGCUGGCGGCAUGCCUUACACAUGCAAGUCGAACGGUAACAGGUUAAGCUGACGAGUGGCGAACGGGUGAGUAAUGUAUCGGAACGUGCCCAGUCGUGGGGGAUAACUACUCGAAAGAGUGGCUAAUACCGCAUACGACCUGAGGGUGAAAGCGGGGGACCGUAAGGCCUCGCGCGAUUGGAGCGGCCGAUAUCAGAUUAGCUAGUUGGUGGGGUAAAAGCCCACCAAGGCGACGAUCUGUAGCUGGUCUGAGAGGACGACCAGCCACACUGGUACUGAGAGACGGCCCAGACUCCUACGGGAGGCAGCAGUGGGGAAUUUUGGACAAUGGACGCAAGUCUGAUCCAGCCAUGCCGCGUGCGGGAAGAAGGCCUUCGGGUUGUAAACCGCUUUUGUCAGGGAAGAAACGAGUUUCUCUAAUACAGAGACUUAAUGACGGUACCUGAAGAAUAAGCACCGGCUAACUACGUGCCAGCCGCCGCGGUAAAAC
rnacentral:rRNA from 1 species